CAAUUCUAUUCAAAAUGGAGAUGCUUUAGUUGGAGCCUAUGAAAAUCUUCCUAAUUGGCAUGUUCCCGUUUUAGCAAUGACUGCAGAUGUAAUCCAAGCUACACAUGAGGAAUGCCUGAAGUGUGGAAUGGAUGGAUAUGUUUCUAAACCAUUUGAAGCUGAACAACUGUAUAGGGAAGUUUCACGAUUUUUGCAGACAACUUCCAAUGUGAUAUAGAGGGGACUUCUGUUGGAAACAUGCUCGUGACAUGAGCAUAAGCGCCUGUUCUCUGGGACGUGGUGGGAUACUUGAAUGGGGUUGAGAGUUUCUCCCAAAAGAAAACAUGUGUUGUUGCAGAGAGUGUAAAUAGAAGCCAUGAUUGAUUGAGCUUGAGUUUCAUUGAUUGUUUUGUGAACCACACGGUGAAGCUUGUUCAAUUUUCCUUGUAAAGUUGAUCUCAUUUGCAAGCUGUUGGUUAGGGUUGGUUAUGUGAGACUUGUGCAGAGGCAAAGCUUUUAGGGUAGGACAUCGAAUUUGAUACUUGAUACCAAUUUCAAAUGGACGGAGAAUUCUAUUAUCUGAGUGGAUCAUAGAAGCUAUGGAAUUGCACCCUCUUCUUGUAAUAAAUUUGUGAUGAUCCGAAGGUAGCACUCUUUCUUUGAGGAUUAUCAAUUUGUAGUGUAGGGGUAGAUUCAUGUGAAAGGAUGAAAGAAAACUUCUUGGCAAAGGGGGAG
rnacentral:misc_RNA from 1 species